rnacentral:rRNA from 1 species
CUGCUGCCUCCCGUAGGAGUCUGGGCCGUGUCUCAGUCCCAAUGUGGCCGUUCAACCUCUCAGUCCGGCUACUGAUCGUCGCUUUGGUGGGCCGUUACCCCGCCAACUGGCUAAUCAGACGCGAGCUCAUCUUUGGACGAUAAAUCUUUGGCAGCAAAAUCAUGCGACCCCGCUGCAUCAUGCGGUAUUAGCAGUCGUUCCGGCUGUUAUCCCCCACCCAAAGGCAGAUUGCUCACGCGUUA